UGGAGAUGUGGCACUGAGGGAUGUGGUUAGUGGACAUGAUGGGGAUAGGUUGAUGGUUGGACUGGAUGGUGUUAGAGGUCUUUUCCAACCUAAUGAUUCUAUGUUCUGGUCAGUAUUUUAGCCAUCCUGAUUAAUCUCAGAGACAAGAUUUGCCACACUGUAAUGAUAGGGAUUUGGAUUCAUUAGCAGAGCAGCAGUCCAAGUCCUUGCUCCUUUCAUCAGACCCCGCAUGUCCCCAUAAACACCCCUCAGUGACUCACCAUCGCCCUUUGCAGUGAGUAUUUUGAAAGUUGCAUGUGAAAGCAACUACAGCAGCCAACUUUUCAGCCUAUACCUUCAUCUCCAUCUGCAGAGCCCUACAUGCCAGUGCGAAGGUCUCCUUCUCCCCAAGGAGAAGGAAGCAGCAGAGGUGACAGCUGUCCUCAAGGCAGGGCCAGGAGGAGAAUCCAGCUCCAUGGCUCUUCUGCCCUGUCAUAGAAUCGCCUGAGUUGGAAGAGACAUUUAAAGGCCAUCUGGUCCAACACCCCUGCAAUGAACAAGGACACCUACAGCUCCAUCAGGUGCUCAGAGCCCCGUGCAGCCUGACCUUGAAUGUCUCCAGGGACAGGGCAUCCAUCAUCUCUCUGGGCAAUAUUUGCCAGUGCCUCACCACCCUUAUUGUAAAAAACUUCUUCCUUAUACCCAGUCCUGUUAUCUCUAGGACCAGGAUCGGUGCAGCAAGGUUAAAACAACUUAGAUAGCACCCAAACUAUACCAAACAAAGAAUAAUUAAGUCUAGCAAACAAUGUCAUGCUCUGCACAGAAAUAUUUGGGCUGUUUGUGCUGUUGAUUAUAGCCAUGCCGCAUUAUAUGAAGUCACUGAGCCCAGCUGGGUGUAGCUGAGGGUGGUGCUCACAUUGUCUGGGCUAAAUGUCAGCAAGGAACAGCCGCAGUUGAAAGAGAAGGAUUUCUAAGCAUUUCCCUUCUCCUGUCUCACACAGCCUCGUUCUUGGAUGGCUGAGGCAAAAGGACAAGAGCAAAGUUAUUUUAGAUAGAACGUACCUAAACGUUUUGUUCUUUGCUCAUAGAAAAGAACAGAAAUAAGCUCUGUGUCUUGUAAACAUGAACACCCAGUGUUUUGUGUAUAUAAACCAGCUGCUGGGAAAGCUUGACGAGUUUUAACUCUGCUUUGUGUUUAGGGGACAAAUAGUGUCAAUUCCUCAGCCCAUCAGGCUCCUCUCCAUGUUCCUGCAGAUAUUUGGAUAGGUUUUGGGCAGUGCCUGUGCCCUUCUGCAGCUUUGCUGGGGGACUCCAUUGCCACACAGAACCUGGACCUUCUGGGCAUUCCUCAGCCACUGUGGGGCAAAGUCGGCUCCUGUGGGUGAGGAUGGACAUCAGUCUGGGUACCACCCGCCAAGCACUGUCUGUUGAGUCCUUGUUGUCUUCCAUCUUCUUAGCAGCAGGUGUGAUUCUUCCCUCCUUCACACUGAGUGAAAUUAGUUGGGAUGACUCAGAGCCAACUCUGAAACUGUUUAAUCCAAGUUAGUGCUCACAGCGAGUGCUGGCAGAUGGACAGCAAUGUGCGCCUGAAAGUGCCAGCUGCUCCCCUCUGAAAGCACUGUCUGCCAGAUGAACCCUGGCAGCACCAGUGCUGAGCCAGGGAGUGAAGGCAGGCAGUAAAUGGCCGAGGCCAUCACAACUAGACCCAGCAAGGACAGUUGUUCUUGGACUUGAGAAGGAACCUGCAUGCAUUUCUCCUGCUUACCUCUUUAAUCAGCCUGCAAAUGAGCAAAUGUCCUGCAAAGCCAGGUUUUGAGUCACAUCAUUCAGGAUAGCUUAUAAAUCUGAAUCUUCACUCACGAAUAAGAUAGGCUUACCAUGCUCUUCACAUCCAUUGUGUCAAGCUUCCUUCAGUUGAGGGUAGACUAUGUACAACCAAACGGAUUGGGUGGGGUGUCCAGUGUUUCUCAGCUACUACAUCUAGUAGUUGUAAGCAUGGGCAAUAUGAGAAUUAUGGGACAAGGGUCUAGUCCUAAGCCUUCCCAAAGCCUGUGACCCUCAAUUUUGUCCGGAUGUGAAAUCACAGACCUUUCUACCCUUCUUUUCUUGUCAAGGUCACAUGUACAGCACUGUCACUCCAGAGCCCUGCCCAUGCGGGGAGCUGCUGCCAGACAAGAGUAUGUAAGAGCAAGACUCCAAGCACUUAAGGACUGGUAUGCUCAAGCACUUAUAAGGAGCCUGUGUCCACUAGAACUCAACUGCAGGUACUCAAAGGACAGCGUAAGAAGUGGAAUAUGAAAAAGUUUUUUUCCUUCUGAGGUCUAUGUCUGCAAUAAGUAAUGAGAUGAGGAACCAGCAGAUUAGAAGCAGCUAAAUGGAGCUCCAACAUACUGUAAUAAUGAAGACCUCCUGGAAGCUGAAGAAAUUGGAGCAUCUUGAGCCUGGUGUAUGAAACAAAAAAUCUGGUAAACCUUGGAGGCUUCAUGAAGAAUGGCAGAAACAGGCAGGUACUCAUGGGAAAUGACACACCGUGCAUGUCGGGAAUUGUGGAUCGCAGCCGAGGACCAGGAGAGGACGAGGUCGCUCCUCGCCGCGUGCUCCCUGCUUGCACCACGCCUGCACUUCCCCUCCGUGCGACAGCAUUGUCCCCCAAAAGGGACUGCAAACCUUCCUUGGGCAGCUCCUUCCAACCUAUCACCAGGUGAGAGAAAGUGAUCCAGAGGGCAACAAAUGGGGUCUGCUGCUGGUCGAUGAGGGAGGAGAUGGAUGGAACUGUGACCUCGAAAAGAGAGAUGGCACAAUGAUAACCCUAAGUGAGAGUGUGUGAGCUGUGCAGGGCCCCAAAAGCAGCCCAAAGGCCCUAUGGUGAGUCGGAGCCACAGAGCAGCAGACGUGGGAUAUGUUGAGAAGAGAUGACUGUGCCGUAGCCAGGAAAACUGCUCAUUACAAGAGCAGGCUGGGUGAUGGGGAGGAUGGCACGGGGGCUUCAAACACCAACUGGGUGGCCCUGGCAGUCACUGAAGUUGUCAUUUCCAGCCCAAGAACUGCUGGAACCAAAGGAAAAACACUGCAGGGGGGACAACCUGCUCCCCUUCCUUGGGGUCCCCUGGCCUCCAAAGGGAUGAAAGCCCUUUUUCUGGCACCAGAGGCCUGCCCUUCCACUCAAUGCAUUAUUCAAACCGGAUGUUUUUCACCCCAAAGCAGGCUCAGGCUGUGCCAUCCCAGUGCCCAGGCCCUGCUGCACGCACAAGGCUGGAAAAUCUGAGCCUGUGUGUUUUGGGGAGGGCUGGGCCCAUGUCCCCCACCCCUUCCUGCCCCCCCGCCUGCCUCACAGGGGCCUAAUAUUUGUGCGUGUGUGUUUUAACGCGGCAUAUGGUCUUCAUUACACGCAGACUUCUCACUUCCAUAAUUAUACCAUGAUGGGAGUUCCUGUCAAAGCCAUAAAGCAAAUUCUCUUCCCCCGCCCCGUCCCUCCGCCCCCACCAGCCCUCCCCAUAAAACUCAGAGGGGUCCCAGUUUGCGAGGAGAAAGAAAACCCCAUUAACCCUUCGCUCCCUCCAUUUCAGUGGGAAUGGAGAAAAGAGCUGGGAGGAAGGGGAUGGGGUGUGUGUAUCCAGAGUUUGACCACGUACAAAAGAGUGUGGCGAGGUGACGAUGCCAAAUUGUGCCAUUGGGAGAGGCAAGCCACAGCUUGGCUCAGUGCUCCUCUUGCUGCCUUUCUUGUCCUAUCCACCUCCAAAACGCAAGCGCCCCUGGGUAGCGCCUGGCAGCUGUUUAACAGCACGCGGUGACGCUGCCCUGCAGUUUAGGACAGGAAAUGAAGGCGGCUGUAUCUGCAGGGGGAAUGAGGCCAGCAGACAGCAAUUACCUGCGCGGGAGCUUGGCCAGAGCUCCACUCCUCCAAGAGCUGCCGUGGGUCUGGACGCUGAUGGCCGGGGUGCAGGUGCUGUGGGGCCGUGUCCCAUAUGUAGCUGGGGUGGUGGGCAGCAGGAAAAGCUUCUGCACAUGUGGGAAAUACUGUUGGUUGGUUUGUUUUUGUUUAAACUUAAGUGCUCCCUUAGUCUGCGAUGGAUCAGAAAAUGGGCUUGGCUGUCCCUGCGUGCACUAGAAGUACUAUGUAUUGGAGAAGGCAUCUUCGUCCAACUUGCUGACCUGGUGCUGCUUUGCCCUGCGGGAGGCAUAAGAUGUCCCCUGAAUGGCUGCACGGGGCUUGUCCCAGCACCCCACAAGCGAUCCUGCUCAUCUCAGCACUCGCCAAGGUCAAACUCAUCUGCACUGACAGCUACCUUAAUCCAAGGUAGAAUGUGGACAGCAUGAAUGGAGAGAGGAAGAGGUUGAGAGGAGGAGAUUUGCCACCUUGGGCAGCUGAUGUUUCCAACCAAGACCUCCAGUGCUCCCAGAGAGAGGAGAAAAGUGGCACAGACCUGAGGACCCAGAGACUGACCAUGGAUGGAUGUGAGCCAAGGUGAAGCAGAGCUCCAAAGGAGUGUGAUACAGAGAUGGAUUACACAGAGUCUCAAUCAGGACUUACAGAGCAACCCAGCUGACCUGGGUUGCAGCCAUGAGCAACACAUUCAGCAGCGACAUCCCUGGGUAUGGAGCUCAGGCACUGCAUCUCCACCAAGGAGGCACAAGUGGCCAUUGAGCUGUAACUCCUCUGCAAGGCUCAGGAGAGGUGGGAUGCUUCGCUGUUGGCUUGAUAAGAGGAAAUGCAGCGAGUGAAGGUACCAUUCUUCCUCUUUCACUGCAGUUAACCCAAGACAAAGUUUUCAACACAGAAACACCUUUCCAGCUCUGUUUCAUGGAGAAGAGGCCCAGCAGCUCCCUGUGAACUGACCUGAAGCAGCAGGAAUAUUCUGAGGUGGAGUCACAAGUAUUAAAGCAAAAAUAAGAUGAUGCAAGGACACAGCUCACUUGGUGUCAGCCUUUCCUGUAGAAACACAAAGAGGGUUUGUUGAUGCCACGUGCAGGCUGCCUCAGUUCGAGUCAUAUUUCUUCCUUUAUGAAGUUAGUCUUUAAGGCAUCAGCUCAAAAUGGCCUUUCUUUCAUUACAAAGUUAUUUAGUUACGGGUAGGUAACUCUAAAUGACAUUUCUACAUCUCGCACUUUAUUAGUUGAUCCUAGCUGCUAAAUUACACAGAGAGAGCAGCAGAGUAUGGUGGGGGAGUUGAGUGUGUUUUGGCUAAUUUUGGAUGGGGUCCAACCUUCUGGAGUUGGAAAUUUGCCUCUGAGAUGAUGAGCUUGUGCACCUCCCUCAGGGAGGGCUGUGAAGUCAGAAAGCAAAAAGGAUUGGUGAAGAAUUAAAAACAAAAGUGUAAACACUGGGCUAUUUCCCUGCUCCCCGGAGAGCUCUGUGAGCACUGAGCUGUGUACUGUUCAGGAGAGGAAAAGCCAGCUCAGCAUCACUGACUUACUCAGAGGGCAAUGAGGCAGUGGCACAGCUGCCCCGUGGGCUGUGGGUGCUUAAGCACCUCCCUAGAAAUGCUUAAGGCCAGGUUGGAUGGGGCCCUGGGCAGCCUGAGCUGGUGAGUGGCAACCAGCCCACAGUAGGGGACUGGGACAGGGUGGGCUUUAAGUUCGCCUCCAAUCUAAGCCAUUCCAUGAUUCUAUGACCUGGAGUGGCGCUGGGGAUGGAGAUGCUGGUGGCUAGGCGACAGAUGACCACAAAGCCACCCACUCUUCCUACCUCACUUUGCUUUCAUCUGUGGGGAAGAUGCACUCUAACACGCAGCAUGAAGAUUUUUUUUCCUGACUCCAAAUGUACUAAUUUGGAGGAAAGCCUGAGUCCUCCUGAAGCUGGCAGGACUCCUUGUCGACGUGCACAAAACCCCAGAGCAGAUGGGCAUAGAUUUUGGCUAAGCACAGCAGCAGUUGUUGAGUAUUAGGGUCUGUCAUCUCUUCCAGGAACAUCCCGGCAGCUGCCUUUGCCUCUCUCUCAACUGAGAGGCAUGAGUGUGCCUCCCCUUGCACACAACAUAGCACUGCUGCCACUGCAGUUUUGAUUUCUAUGGCCAAGAAUAUUUUCUAUUGCAGUCUCAGGUCUUGAUUUUAAAAGCCAUACUGAGAAAUGACAUACAUCCAAGUGAAGACAUGUUUCUUCAACAGUUCAUACUCGCCCUUCCAUGACUUUCAUGUCCUAAGUAUCACGGAAAACCUGGUACAGUACAUUACUUUCAGUAGGCUGCCAGAAAGAGAGUUCAUUUAGUUUGAUGACAGAUUAAUACUGAUUCACAAAUUAAUUUUGUCUCUUUGUAUAUCAAGGGUGUCCGCAACUUAUUUAAUUUGUAAUAAAUAUAAUUAUAGAAAUGAAUGAGCUAUCAAGUUUUUUAAAGUAUGAUCCAUCAAUGUUGGCAUGACUUGCAAUCCUGGUCAUUAUAAAUAAAAUGGGUCUUUUGCAAUAUGGAAUGCAA